GGCACGCCACGCACAGCCAAUUACGCCACGCAAAUGUCACACCCACAAGGGCCCCAGCAGUGAAUAAUAUUAAAAUAUAAGUGAAAGCUUGACUUAGUUAAGGUUUUAACUGCCGGUAGAUCUCGUGCCAGCCACCGCGGUUAUACGAGAGGCCGAAAACAACAGCAAUUGGCGUAAAGAGUGGUCAAAGUGGUAUCAAUACAUUAAGGGGGAAUCAAUUCUAAGCCGUGAAACCCACAAGAAAUAAGAACCACCAACCCUUAAUAAAAGGAUAGCUCUAACCCACGAAAGUUGGGACACAAACUGGGAUUAGAUACCCCACUAUGCCCAACCCUAAACUUAAACAGCCAGAAACCUUAAACUGUUCGCCAGGGGACUACAAGCAAAAUGCUGGAAACCCAAAGGACUUGGCGGUGCCCCACACCAAACUAGAGGAGCCUGUCCCAUAAUCGAUAGUCCACGAUAAACCUCACCACCCUUUGACAGUUCAGCCUAUAUACCGCCGUCGCCAGCCUACCCUAUGAGAGCACAAUAGUAGGCACAGCAGCACACGCGAGUACGCCAGGUCAAGGUGUAGCUAAUGGGGUGGCGGAGAUGGGCUACAUUUCCUAACACCGACACAACACGAAAGGCCUCAUGAAAGCCGAGCCGGAAGGUGGAUUUAGCAGUAAAACAGAUAAGACCGCCUACUUGAAGAGUGCUGUAGGGCAUGCACACACCGCCCGUCACCCUCCUCAACGCA
rnacentral:rRNA from 1 species